rnacentral:tRNA from 1 species
GCCUGAGUGGCUCAGUUGGUUGAGUGUCUGCCUUCAGCUCAGGUCAUGAUCUCCCAGUCCUGGGAUCGAGUCCCAUGUCAGGCU